UUGAACGCUGGCGGCAGGCCUAACACAUGCAAGUCGAACGGUAACAGAAAGCAGCUUGCUGCUUUGCUGACGAGUGGCGGACGGGUGAGUAAUGUCUGGGAAACUGCCUGAUGGAGGGGGAUAACUACUGGAAACGGUAGCUAAUACCGCAUAACGUCGCAAGACCAAAGAGGGGGACCUUAGGGCCUCUUGCCAUCGGAUGUGCCCAGAUGGGAUUAGCUAGUAGGUGGGGUAACGGCUCACCUAGGCGACGAUCCCUAGCUGGUCUGAGAGGAUGACCAGCCACACUGGAACUGAGACACGGUCCAGACUCCUACGGGAGGCAGCAGUGGGGAAUAUUGCACAAUGGGCGCAAGCCUGAUGCAGCCAUGCCGCGUGUAUGAAGAAGGCCUUCGGGUUGUAAAGUACUUUCAGCGGGGAGGAAGGGAGUAAAGUUAAUACCUUUGCUCAUUGACGUUACCCGCAGAAGAAGCACCGGCUAACUCCGUGCCAGCAGCCGCGGUAAUACGGAGGGUGCAAGCGUUAAUCGGAAUUACUGGGCGUAAAGCGCACGCAGGCGGUUUGUUAAGUCAGAUGUGAAAUCCCCGGGCUCAACCUGGGAACUGCAUCUGAUACUGGCAAGCUUGAGUCUCGUAGAGGGGGGUAGAAUUCCAGGUGUAGCGGUGAAAUGCGUAGAGAUCUGGAGGAAUACCGGUGGCGAAGGCGGCCCCCUGGACGAAGACUGACGCUCAGGUGCGAAAGCGGGGGGAGCAAACAGGAUUAGAUACCCUGGUAGUCCACGCCGUAAACGAUGUCGACUUGGAGGUUGUGCCCUUGAGGCGUGGCUUCCGGAGCUAACGCGUUAAGUCGACCGCCUGGGGAGUACGGCCGCAAGGUUAAAACUCAAAUGAAUUGACGGGGGCCCGCACAAGCGGUGGAGCAUGUGGUUUAAUUCGAUGCAACGCGAAGAACCUUACCUGGUCUUGACAUCCACGGAAGUUUUCAGAGAUGAGAAUGUGCCUUCGGGAACCGUGAGACAGGUGCUGCAUGGCUGUCGUCAGCUCGUGUUGUGAAAUGUUGGGUUAAGUCCCGCAACGAGCGCAACCCUUAUCCUUUGUUGCCAGCGGUCCGGCCGGGAACUCAAAGGAGACUGCCAGUGAUAAACUGGAGGAAGGUGGGGAUGACGUCAAGUCAUCAUGGCCCUUACGACCAGGGCUACACACGUGCUACAAUGGCGCAUACAAAGAGAAGCGACCUCGCGAGAGCAAGCGGACCUCAUAAAGUGCGUCGUAGUCCGGAUUGGAGUCUGCAACUCGACUCCAUGAAGUCGGAAUCGCUAGUAAUCGUGGAUCAGAAUGCCACGGUGAAUACGUUCCCGGGCCUUGUACACACCGCCCGUCACACCAUGGGAGUGGGUUGCAAAAGAAGUAGGUAGCUUAACCUUCGGGAGGGCGCUUACCACUUUGUGAUUCAUGACUGGGGUG
rnacentral:rRNA from 1 species